rnacentral:rRNA from 1 species
AUCCAGACUCCUACGGGAGGCAGCAGUGAGGGAUAUUGGUCAAUGGGGGAAACCCUGAACCAGCAACGCCGCGUGAGGGAAGACGGUUUUCGGAUUGUAAACCUCUGUCCUCUGUGAAGAUAAUGACGGUAGCAGAGGAGGAAGCUCCGGCUAACUACGUGCCAGCAGCCGCGGUAAUACGUAGGGAGCAAGCGUUGUCCGGAUUUACUGGGUGUAAAGGGUGCGUAGGCGGCUUUGCAAGUCAGAAGUGAAAUCCAUGGGCUUAACCCAGGAACUGCUUUUGAAACUGCAGAGCUUGAGUGGAGUAGAGGUAGGCGGAAUUCCAGGUGUAGCGGUGAAGUGCGUAGAGAUCGGGAGGAACACCAGUGGCGAAGGCGGCCUGCUGGACUGCGACUGACGUUGAGGCCCGAAAGCGUGGGGAGCAAACAGGAUUAGAUACCCUCGUA